rnacentral:lncRNA from 1 species
UUUUUUGAAGGAAUCUACAUGCAACUUUGCUAUUUCAUAUUUUAGCUGGGAAAACCUAUGGUGACCCUAAUUGUUUUGCAUACUCUCAAAGCUCUCACUUUAAGUUCUCUUACAAUUAUUCUAUCAUUAUAAUGAUGUUUUUUUUCCUGUAUAGUCCUUACAAAAUGUGUCAUUUUGUCACAAUCUGUAUCUUGAGUAAAUGCCUGGUGACUUAUCAUUUUUAUAAUAUUUUUUAUCACAUCACAAUAUAAACUUCAUUUUGGCAAAGUUUAAUAAAAAAUUAUGACUUUUAGUUGAGACUCCUAUACCACCUCUAAACUUUUUUUAAUUUCUUUUUUUAAUUAUUGAUCCAUAAUUUAUUUCCCACUCAAAAAAACAAUUUACUGCAAAACUUGUCAGGCAGCGAAUAUAUAGAUACAUUCUAGAACAAUGACCGUGAAAAGUCGUUUAGUAAAAUAACAAUCUUGAAAAAGUCAUUCUCAUUCUCCAGUUGACGUACAUGAUCAUAGAUUAGAUAUAAAAUGUUGUUUAAAUUGUAAUUAUAUUGCAAGGUUAAAACACGAGAGAAACUUCGCGC